rnacentral:rRNA from 1 species
CACGCCUUAAACGAUGAGUGCUAGUUGUUGGGGGCUUAGUCCCUCAGUGACGAAGCUAACGCGAUAAGCACUCCGCCUGGGAAGUACGGCCGCAAGGUUGAAACUCAAGGAAUUGACGGGGACCCGCACAAGCGGUGGAGCAUGUGGUUUAAUUCGAGGCAACGCGAAGAACCUUACCUACCCUUGACAUGUUAGUGAACCUUUCCAGAGAUGGAUUGGGUGUAGCAAUACACGCUAACACAGGUGC